rnacentral:ncRNA from 1 species
AAGCUAGGGGAGCCAAUUGGCUGAGAGGAUAGACUGACCCUUAUACUUGAUCUGGAUAAUGCCAGCGUAGGAAAGCUUUUAUAUAA